AGGCCCACGGAGCCGCCCCGGAACGUGUUCCGGGAGGUCCCCUCAGUGCCUGUCCGCUGUUGGGGGAGGCGAGGGGAAGGGCCUCUCGGAGCCACAGCCUUACACGCGCCGUGCGGGAGCCAGCACGGACGAUUCGAGUGCCUUACUACUUACCAGUCCUUCAGUGUCGUCCUGGGUGUUGUGUUGUCCCGAAAUGACUUUAAAACAAAGCAAAUAUUUUAAUGAAUUAUUGGAGAGGACCUUUUCAUUUAAGCAUUAACAUCACUUCUGUGUUGGUGUGUGUGAGCUUGUUCUUGCGAAUCUGAUGGUAACAUUUGUUCUGUGAGCUGGAAGCAGAAGAAAACCGUGCCCUUGGAUACCCGUAGCCAAUAACUGGAAGAAAAUGAUGUGAAUUUUCAUGUAAAUUACCAGAGGAAUAUGGAUGAGAUGCUCAUUUCUCAUAUAGACCUUGUUCUUUUUUUCUUUUUUAAUCUGCUAUGUGGUGGAGCUGUAAUUUGGUCCUCGAUUUUGAGGAUGUGGUGGAUGGAGGUUUCCAGUUUGGUUCAAGCGAAAACCAGGACAGAUUCUAGCUUCGACCUCCUAUGUGUUUUGCUCUUUCAGCAUUAGACAUACUAGUUCCUGUUCAAGUUCCAAGACCUUUGUUCUUAGAAGAGUUACCGUGUCAAUUUAAUCUAUGGAGGACAUACACAGGUGUCCUGUAUCUGAUUUCCCCUUCGGUAUAUAUAUUAUUAAUAUUAUUAUUAUUAUUAUUUUUAGUUCAUCAGUUUGCUGGUCUCUGCAGUAAGCAGAAACAAAUGGGCAAUAUUUGUCCUGGAGACCCGGGUGCCCCAGGUCCUCGCUAAGCGUCUGCCCGCCCGCAGCUCCCUGCCCCUCGCCGGGGGCUCUUCUACUGUACCCGACAAGCCUUCCUUCGGCCGCAGCAGCGCGGGGAGAGAGCAGGUGGGGAGGGCCCGCUCACCGGUGUCUGCCCACCCAGCCAGGCCCACCCGCGUGUGCUACUGUCAUUUGCAAGGCGAGGAAAUACUACUACUGGUGAUAAAGCUGCACAUGCGAGAUAGAAGAUGAGAAAUGGAUUUAUAUUUACCUUCCUGCAAUUUGGAAUUGGUGCUUGAAGAUAGACUUGUUUCCAGUUUCUGAAAUAACCUGAACCCCUGGGUGCAAAAAAGGCAGGAUUCUUUUUUUUUUUUUCUUUUUUUCUUUUGUGAGCAUCCUAAGCAGGCAAUACACUUCCUACUGUAGCUGAGCCUGUCUCAGCAUCCUGUCUGCCACUGGGACCCCAGGACACCUGAGGCCCAGCGCUGGGCCUCCUCGCUGCUCCACCCUCACAUCCCCAGGACCCCCCCUCCCCCUCCCAGGACCUCCUUCCCUCAGUGAGUGUGCAGACAGGACACAGACCCUUCCUCACCAGUUUCUGGCAGCCAAAAUCCAACCAUCCAGACUUCAAAGGAAGACGUGUGUUCUCAAAAUAACAAAAAGUGGUAUCUUUGCAUGUGAAAGGAAAGAAGUUGAGGGCUUUUACAAAAAAAAUAUAUAUAUAUGGAUCUUCUGAAACGUUUUUUGAGGUGCAAGUUUUUCCCUUGUUUUUCUCUUUGAUUUGUGGACACAAUGCUGAGAGUCAAUCACUACAUGAAACUCUGGCUGUGAGAAGCAACAAACCCCAAAGGGCUGACCUCCCCGCGGCUGGGGACGCUCUGUGGCAGUCGAUGAUUCGUAGUACCUUCGCCCUCUGUUCGCCGCCUCCUGUCCUCUUUUCUUCAAGAAGGAAGUGAUCCUAGUGAUUUCAGCCCAUGCAUUACACAGGAAACAAUAAUAAAUGUAGAGUUCAUAUUUUUCUAAAGGGAACUUAAAAACUGCUGCUACAUGUUAUGUACAAACUGGUUUAUGCCACAUGAACAGAAUCACAAGAUUAGUUUUGGUACUUUUGUUCCUCUUUGUAUUCAGUUGUAUAAUACUUCCAAAUUCAAAAUGAGAAGAAAAGCUGUUCUGUAUCAAACCAUCUAAGCAAUAAAUGUUAUAUUUUAAAAACGA